rnacentral:rRNA from 1 species
ACGAACGCUGGCGGCGUGCUUAACACAUGCAAGUCGAACGGGAUUUAGUAAACAGAAGCCUCGGUGGAAGAUUACUAAUGAGAGUGGCGAACGGGUGAGUAACGCGUGAGCAACCUGCCUAUGACAGUGGGAUAGCCUCGGGAAACCGGGAUUAAUACCGCAUAAAAUCGUAGAAACACAUGUUUUAACGGUCAAAGAUUUAUCGGUCAUAGAUGGGCUCGCGUCUGAUUAGCUAGUUGGUGAGAUAACAGCCCACCAAGGCGACGAUCAGUAGCCGGUCUGAGAGGAUGAACGGCCACAUUGGAACUGAGACACGGUCCAAACUCCUACGGGAGGCAGCAGUGGGGAAUAUUGCACAAUGGGGGAAACCCUGAUGCAGCGACGCCGCGUGAACGAAGAAGGUAUUCGUAUCGUAAAGUUCUGUCCUAUGGGAAGAUAAUGACAGUACCAUAGAAGAAAGCUCCGGCUAAAUACGUG